UACGGGGGGAGCAAGCGUUGUUCGGAUUUACUGGGCGUAAAGCGCACGUAGGCGGCUUUGUAAGUUAGAGGUGAAAGCCCAGAGCUCAACUCUGGAAUAGCCUUUAAGACUGCAUCGCUUGAAUCCAGGAGAGGUGAGUGGAAUUCCGAGUGUAGAGGUGAAAUUCGUAGAUAUUCGGAAGAACACCAGUGGCGAAGGCGGCUCACUGGACUGGUAUUGACGCUGAGGUGCGAGAGCGUGGGGAGCAAACAGG
rnacentral:rRNA from 1 species